rnacentral:rRNA from 1 species
UUCGCAAUGCCCGAAAGGGUGACGAUGCGACGCCGCGUGAGCGAAGAAGGCCCUAGGGUUGUAAAGCUCUGUCGAGGGUUAUGAAAUAUAGAUGGGUUAAUACCCCAUUUAUUUGACAAAAGCCCAAAAGGAAGCCACGGCUAACUCUGUGCCAGCAGCCGCGGUAAUACAGAGGUGGCGAGCGUUGUUCGGUAUUAUUGGGCGUAAAGAGCACGUAGGUGGUUUUGUAAGUCAGGUGUGAAAGCCUUCUGUUCAAAGGAAGAACGGCAUCUGAAACUGCAGAUCUUGAGUGUAGGAGGGGAGAGUGGAACUUCUGGUGGAGCGGUGAAAUGCGUAGAUAUCAGAAGGAACGUCGGCGGCGAAAGCGACUCUCUGGCCUAUUACUGACACUGAGGUGCGAAAGUUAGGGGAGUAAACGGGAUUAGAUACCCCGGUAGUCCUAACCGUAAACGAUGGGCACUAAGUAGAGGGGUUUU